GACGAACGCUAGCGGCGUGCCUAACACAUGCAAGUCGAGCGGAGAUGUACUGAAGAUUUAUCGGAUGUACAUCUUAGCGGCGGACGGGUGAGUAACGCGUGGGCAACCUGCCUUCCACUGGGGGAUAACACAGGGAAACCUGUGCUAAUACCGCAUGACAUCACAUAGGGCAUCCUGUGUGAUCAAAGGAGUGAUCCGGUGGAAGAUGGGCCCGCGUCCGAUUAGCUAGUUGGUGAGGUAACGGCUCACCAAGGCGACGAUCGGUAGCCGGACUGAGAGGUUGGCCGGCCACAUUGGGACUGAGACACGGCCCAGACUCCUACGGGAGGCAGCAGUGGGGAAUAUUGCGCAAUGGGGGGAACCCUGACGCAGCGACGCCGCGUGAAGGAGAAGGCCUCGGUGUAACUCUUGAUGAGGACGAAGGAAGUGACGGUACCUCAAAACAAGACCACGGCUAACUACGUGCCAGCAGCCGCGGUAAUAGUACU
rnacentral:rRNA from 1 species